UACGGAGGGGGCUAGCGUUGUUCGGAAUUACUGGGCGUAAAGCGCGCGUAGGCGGUUUCUUAAGUCAGAGGUGAAAGCCCGGAGCUCAACUCCGGAAUUGCCUUUGAGACUGGGCGACUUGAAUCCGGGAGAGGUGAGUGGAAUUCCUAGUGUAGAGGUGAAAUUCGUAGAUAUCGGGAGGAACACCAGUGGCGAAGGCGGCGACCUGGACGGAUAUUGACGCUGAGGUGCGAAAGCGUGGGGAGCAAACAGG
rnacentral:rRNA from 1 species